AAUGGUGCCUAUGGAAGUUCCCAGGCAAGAGGUCAAAUUGAAGGGGCAGCUGCUGGCCUAUGCCACAGCAACAUCAGAUCAGAGCAGCAUCUGUGACCUACUCUGCAGCCUGAGGCAAUGCCAGAUCCCUAACCCACUGUCUGAGGCCAGAAAUCAAGCCCUCAUCCUCAUGGAAACUAUAUUGGGUUCUUAACCCGCUGAGCCACAAUGAGAAGAAGCACAGAAUUUCAAAUUCAAGUUAUGUGUGAGCAGCUCUGAAAAAUAUCAGUGUACCAAACUAUCUUAUCCUAUGUCUGACUCAAAUAGAUCAACAGGAGAUUAAAACUGCUGAUAAUUGAUUUGAUUUAAGGCAGAAAUACAUCCUGCUAAUACAAGAUAAAUAAAAAUCAAUCAACUUUUCAGCCAUGUUCACAUGUAAAAGAAAUGGCAUAAUUACAUGUUUAUGUUGGAAUUCUACAUUGGAAACAUAUACUUCUCUAAAACUUCUACAUUUGUCACUGGGGAUCAAUAUGACAGAUCAAAUGUCAUCUUUUCUUGUAGAUUAAUAAUUGUUUAAAUUUUAAUACAAAUUCAUAUUGACAACCUUAAUUCAUUUUUCAUUCUUCCACAUAUUUUAAAAGAAGUAUAGCUUUAUUGCCACAUGAUGUUUCCACUUCAGCAAACUGUCCUUUACAUAUUUCCCAUAGUAACAUGGUUAAUGAGUAUGACAAUUCUGAAAUAUUAGCCUAUGUAUUUUCAUUUCCUACAAAUUUCGUUUCAUUGAAGAUCCCUCCUCAUUGAAUGAAUGACACUUACCCCUCCAGGGGAGUGUGAAUAACAUCCCAAUGAGGGAGUCAUUAAUCAGCUCUGAAUUUUAAAGUUGACUCCUCAUUGUUAAGAGUCUCCAGAGCAUGCUUUGCUGAGAAAAGGGUUCCAAACUAUUUUUUAAAUAACAAACUCAAGCUUGGAUGUCUGAAGGUAAAAUCUGACUAUAGUACAGGUUAUUGAGAGCACAGUAUUUGACAUGCGAGAAAUGCGCACACAACAUGAAGUACAAAUGGAAGGUCUUCUCUGCACUUCUGGUAGAAAAGAAUAACAAAGAAAUAGAGAAGGGAACUAGAACUUUGUUACUCAAAAAGUGUAAUCCAAUUAACAGGAACAGCAUCACCAGGGAACCUGUAAAAAUGUAGACUCUGAGGCUUCAACCUAAGUAUACUGAAUUAGAAUAUGUAUAAUAAGAGUAUUCCCCAAGUGAUUUAUAUAUGCAUUAAGGUGAGAGUAUCAGCUCAACUAAAACACAAGUGUAAGACUCUGAGGAGAGAAAAUUCCUUCAUUGUAAAAGCAGGAUAAAGUGGGUUUGAUGGUGGAAAAUGAUCAAGAUUCAGUCUGAUGGUUUCUAUUGUUUCUGUCUUUAUAGUUUUCAUUCCCCUUACAUGCAGCUGACAUGAUACUCUAUAUAGAAAACCAGAAAGACUCCAUAUAAAAACCAUUAGAACUCAUAAACGAAUUCAACCAGAUAGAAGGAUACAAGAUUAACAGAGAACUCUGUUGCACUUCCUUAUACUAACAAUGAAAUAUCAGAAAGUUAAAAAAAAAUUCUUUUUACAAUUGCAUCAAAAAAAUACCUAGGAAUAAAGCUAACCAAUAAAACACUGAUUAAAAGGAAACUGAAACUUAUCCAAGGAAAUGAAAAGAUACCCCUUGCUCUUGAAUUGGAAGAUUUAAUAUUGUUAAAAUGGCAUACCUAAAGCAAUCCACAGAUUUAAUGUGAUCCCUAUUAAAUUUCCCAUGACAUUUUUUACAGAACUAGAACAAAUUAUCUUAAAAUUUAUAUGGAACCACAAAAGACUCAGAAUUGCUAAAUCAAUCCGGAGGAAAAAGAACAAAACAGUAGGCAUAACCCUCCCAGACUUCAGACAAUACCAUAAAGCUACAGUAAUCAAAACAGUGUUGGAGUUACUGUUGUGGUGCAGUGGUUAACGAAUCCAACUAGGAACCAUGAGGUUGCGGGUUUGAUCCCUGGCUUUGCUCAGCGGGUUAACAACCCAGCGUUGCCGUGAGCUGUGGUGCAGGUUGCAGACGCGGCUCGGAUCCCACGGUGCUGUGGCUCUGACAUAGGCCGGUGGCUACGGCUCCGAUUCGACCUCUAGCCUGGGAACCUCCAUAUGCCACGGGAGUGGCCCAAGAACAAAAAACACACCAAAAAACAAAAAAAAACCCAGUGUGGUAUUGGCACAAAAACAGACACACAGAUCAGUGAGACAAAGUGUCCAGAAAUAAGUCCACACACCUACAGUCAAUUAAUCUUUGACAAAGGAGGCAAGAAUAUACAAUGGGGGAAAAGACAGUUUCUUCAGCAAGCAGUGUUGGGAAACCUGGACAGCCUCAUGUAAAUCAAUGACAUUAGAACAUUCCCUCACACCAUACACAAAAAUAAAAUCAAAAUGGCUUAUGUCUUCAACAUAUGACAUAACACUAUAAAACUCCUAGAAGAGAACAUAGACAAAACAUUCUCUUCCAUAAAUCAUAGCAAUGUAUUCUUAGGCCAAUCUACAAAGACAAAAGAAAUAAAAGCAAAAAUAAGUAAGUGGGACCUAAUCAAACUGACAAGGUUUUGCACAGCAAAGGAUACCGUAAACAAAACAAAAAGACAAUCUACUGAAUGGAAGAAAAUAUUUACAAACGAUGUGCCUGACAAGGGAUUAAUUUCCAAAAUACACAAAAAGCUCAUAUAGCUCAAUAACAAAAAAACAAACCACCCAACUAAAAAUGGGCAGAAGUUCUAAAUAGACAGUUCUCCAAAGAAGACAUACGAUUGGUCAAUAGGCACAUGAAAACGCAUUUGACAUCAUUAUUAAAGAAGUGCAAAUCAAAACUACAACAAGGUAUCACCUCACACCGGUCAGAAUGACUAUCAUCAAAAAGUAUACAAAUAACAAAUGCUGGAGAGGGUGUGGAGAAAAGGAAACCUCCUACAUCCUGGAGGGAAUGUAAUUUGGUGCAGCUACUUGGAGAAGAAUAUGGAGGUUCCUCAAAAAACUAAAAAUAGAGUUGCCAUAUGAUCCAGCAAUUCCACUCUUGGGUGUACACUCAGAGAAAACUGUAAUUUGAAAAGAUAUAUGCAACCUAAUGUUCAUAGCAGCACUAUUUACAAUACCCAAGAUAGGGAAGCAACCUAAGUGUCCAUUGACAGAUGUAUGGAUAAAAAAGAGGUGGUAUAAAUAUAAAAUAGAAUAUUACUCAGCCAAAAUAAGGAAUGAGACAAUGCCAUUUGCAGCAAUGUGGAUGCAACUAGAGAUUAUCAUACUAAGUGAAUUCAAACAGAGAAAGACAAAUAUCAUAUGAUUAUCAUUUACAUGUGGAAUCUAAAAAAAUGGUACAAAUAAAUUAUUUACCAAACAAAUAGAUGCACAGACAGAAAACAAGUUUAUGGUUACCAAAGGGGAAAGGGGGGUAGGGAUAAAUUAGGUGUAUGGGAUUAACAGAUAUAUAUACUAUGUAUAAAAUAAAGAACAAGGACUUACUUAUAGCACAGGGAAUUAUAUUCAAUAUCUUGUAAUAACCUAUACUGGAAAAGAAUCUGAAGAAUAUGUAUAUAUUUGCUGUACACCUGAAGCUAACACAUUAUAAAUCAACUAUAUUUCAAUAAAAAAGUUUUCAUUCCCUUAGCUGCAAUAAUCUUGUUUCAUUCAUUCAUUCUAAAAGAGUAAGUGUUUAUCAGGAUAUAGGCAAUAUUUUAUAAUAACUUUAAAUGGAGUAUAAUCUAUAAAAAUUUUGAAUCACUAUCUUGUAUACUUGAGACUAAUAAAAUAUUGUAAACCUACUAUACCUCAAAAAAAAAAAAAGAAUAUGUGCUUAUAAUGUGCUAGGCAAUGUUUUAGUUUGUUUCAGUCUUAAAACAUUAGGGUCUUUGUUUUGGCAUGAUAGUCUACUCCUUUCCUUAAUUUCAGAAAUCUCGACAUUUGCGAAAUUUUUUUCCAAAUAAAAUCAACUGAAUUACUACAGAAGGCAAUAACUUCUAUGACAUGACACUCUGGGCAGUUUAUAAAGUGCAUCUUCUUUUAAAAUGGCAAAUGUAUUAAGAGUAAAAUGCAUUAGUCACAAAAUGUAAAAAUAUAGUUGGAAGAUAGGGAUGGAUUGGAAAUAAAAAUAUUUUCCUAAAGACUGCUUAAAAUCACUAAGUAUAAAUUCGAUAUAUAGUAAGCACAUACCCUGUGCUCAGCUCUCUGCUAGGUAUUUCAGAUAAAAACAUGUAUGAGCUAUCUCUAUAAUGUGGUAUGGUAAACAGGGCUGGUCUUAAGGGAUUGAGACCUUCUGCUAGCAGACAGUACUUAGAAAGACCUUGCAUUUUGUUUAAUGCUCUAUUACCCCAGUAUUGAAAUUUUCAGUAAUUUUAUCUUUCGACUUCUGAGGUGUUAAGUACACGAACUUUUAAGUAAAGUCUGAUAGGACAAAGGACUAUGUGUGAGCAGAGGCGAUAUGCAAAAGAAAGGCAAAAAGCUUAAAUUUUAGUCAUUUUAAUGGCCUUUUCCUGCUUUUUGAAUAAUAGGCCUUGCAUUUUCAUCUUGCACUGGCCAAUUAUGCACUUGUGGGGCCAAUUAUGUAGCAGGUCCUCAUGAUAGUUAAAUAGAAAUACGUGUUAGAUAUUGUGGUAAAAUGGAGUAUUUAUGAAAGGGUAAGUGAUGACUUCACAGGGAAAAUUAUACAUAAAUUAAGCUUUGAAGGACAAAAUGGAGUGUGCCAGGUGACAAGG
rnacentral:lncRNA from 1 species